rnacentral:rRNA from 1 species
UCGGGAAUUUUGGGCAAUGGGCGAAAGCCUGACCCAGCAACGCCGCGUGAAGGAUGAAGUAUUUCGGUAUGUAAACUUCGAAAGAAUAGGAAGAAUAAAUGACGGUACUAUUUAUAAGGUCCGGCUAACUACGUGCCAGCAGCCGCGGUAAUACGUAGGGACCAAGCGUUGUUCGGAUUUACUGGGCGUAAAGGGCGCGUAGGCGGCAAUUCAAGUCAUCUGUGAAAUCUCCGGGCUUAACUCGGAACGGUCAGAUGAUACUGCUUUGCUAGAGUGCAGAAGGGGCAAUCGGAAUUCUUGGUGUAGCGGUGAAAUGCGUAGAUAUCAAGAGGAACACCUGAGGUGAAGACGGGUUGCUGGGCUGACACUGACGCUGAGGUGCGAAAGCGUGGGGAGCAAACAGGAUUAGAUACCCCGGUAGUCCCUGAGCGGGCUGGCAAGGCGCAU